UUCCUUAAGCACGUUACGCGGCCUCGGCCCGGUACCGCGUUCUCAUUGGCUUCCUGUCCUGUCAGUUCCAGGAGCUGGCCAAUGAGUUGUCGGUGCUGGCGCCCUUCUCGACGCCGUGGACGCCGCG
ensembl:miRNA